rnacentral:rRNA from 1 species
GACGAACGCUGGCGGCGUGCCUAACACAUGCAAGUCGAACGGAAAACAUAGCAAUAUGUUUUUAGUGGCGAACGGGUGAGUAACGCGUAGACAACCAACCUUUUUGUGGGGGACAACACUUCGAAAGGAGUGCUAAUACCGCAUACGUUCCUGAGGUCGCCUGGCCUUGGGAAGAAAGGAGCUUUACGGCUUCGCAGAAAGACGGGUCUGCGUCUGAUUAGCUAGUUGGAGGGGUAACGGCCCACCAAGGCGACGAUCAGUAGCCGGUCUGAGGGGAUGGACGGCCACACUGGGACUGCGACACGGCCCAGACUCCUACGGUAGGCAGCAGUGGGGAAUCUUCCGCAAUGGACGAAAGUCUGACGGAGCGACGCCGCGUGAGUGAUGAAGGCCCUUGGGUCGUAAAGCUCUGUCAUCGGGGACGAACGGUCACAUCAGGAAAUGGGUGUGAAUUGACGGUACCCGAGAAGGAAGCCACGGCUAACUACGUGCCAGCAGCCGCGGUAAGAC